UAUUAGAGGCACUGCCUGCCCAGUGACAUAUGUUCAACGGCCGCGGUACCCUGACCGUGCAAAGGUAGCAUAAUCAUUUGUUCUCUAACUAAGGACCUGUAUGAACGGCCACACGAGGAUUCCACUGUCUCCUAUUUCCAAUCAGUGAAAUUGACCUUCCCGUGAAGAGGCGGGAAUAAUACUAUAAGACGAGAAGACCCUGUGGAGCUUAAAUCAAUCAGCCCAGUUAAUAACCACUAAACACCAAUAGGAAUAAACACACAUAACAUGAGCUGCCAAUUUUGGUUGGGGUGACCUCGGAGCAAAACAAACCCUCCGAAUGAUAAGUACUAAGACCUACAAGUCAAAGUCCACAGUAUCACUUAUUGACCCAAAAUAUUGAUCAACGAAACCAGUUACCCCAGGGAUAACAGCGCAAUCCUAUUCAAGAGCCCAUAUCGCCAAUAGGGUUUACGAACCUCGAUGUUGGAUCAGGACAU
rnacentral:rRNA from 1 species